rnacentral:rRNA from 1 species
UACAUAGGGUGCAAGCGUUGUCCGGAAUUAUUGGGCGUAAAGAGCUCGUAGGUCGUUUGUUACGUCGGAUGUGAAAACCUGAGGCUCAACCUCAGGCCUGCAUUCGAUACGGGCAAACUAGAGUUUGGUAGGGGAGACUGGAAUUCCUGGUGUAGCGGUGGAAUGCGCAGAUAUCAGGAGGACACCAAUGGCGAAGGCAGGUCUCUGGGCCAAUACUGACACUGAGGAGCGAAAGUCUGGGGAGCGAACAGG